rnacentral:rRNA from 1 species
AUCCACAGCCAUAUCACCCUGCAGCCCAAGACCGGUUACUCACUAAAGCUAAGCAGGGCUGAGCCUGGUCAGUACCUGAAUGGGAGACCACUAGGGAACACUAGGUUGCUGUUGGAA